rnacentral:rRNA from 1 species
CCGUCAGAUUGAACGCUGGCGGCAGGCCUAACACAUGCAAGUCGAGCGGUAGAGAGGUGCUUGCACCUCUUGAGAGCGGCGGACGGGUGAGUAAUGCCUAGGAAUCUGCCUGGUAGUGGGGGAUAACGCUCGGAAACGGACGCUAAUACCGCAUACGUCCUACGGGAGAAAGCAGGGGACCUUCGGGCCUUGCGCUAUCAGAUGAGCCUAGGUCGGAUUAGCUAGUUGGUGGGGUAAUGGCUCACCAAGGCGACGAUCCGUAACUGGUCUGAGAGGAUGAUCAGUCACACUGGAACUGAGACACGGUCCAGACUCCUACGGGAGGCAGCAGUGGGGAAUAUUGGACAAUGGGCGAAAGCCUGAUCCAGCCAUGCCGCGUGUGUGAAGAAGGUCUUCGGAUUGUAAAGCACUUUAAGUUGGGAGGAAGGGCAUUAACCUAAUACGUUAGUGUUUUGACGUUACCGACAGAAUAAGCACCGGCUAACUCUGUGCCAGCAGCCGCGGUAAUACAGAGGGUGCAAGCGUUAAUCGGAAUUACUGGGCGUAAAGCGCGCGUAGGUGGUUCGUUAAGUUGGAUGUGAAAGCCCCGGGCUCAACCUGGGAACUGCAUUCAAAACUGUCGAGCUAGAGUAUGGUAGAGGGUGGUGGAAUUUCCUGUGUAGCGGUGAAAUGCGUAGAUAUAGGAAGGAACACCAGUGGCGAAGGCGACCACCUGGACUGAUACUGACACUGAGGUGCGAAAGCGUGGGGAGCAAACAGGAUUAGAUACCCUGGUAGUCCACGCCGUAAACGAUGUCAACUAGCCGUUGGGAGCCUUGAGCUCUUAGUGGCGCAGCUAACGCAUUAAGUUGACCGCCUGGGGAGUACGGCCGCAAGGUUAAAACUCAAGGAAAUUGAACGGG